AUAAGAGCAUUUGGUGGAUGCCUUGGCAUUAGAAGGCGAUGAAGGACGUAAUACGCUGCGAUAAGCUUCGGGGAGUUGCGAAUAAACUUUGAUCCGAAGAUUUCCGAAUGGGGAAACCCACCUAAUUUAUUAGGUAUUGUAUAGUGAAUACAUAGUUAUAUGAGGCAAACCCAGCAAACUGAAAUAUCUAAGUAGCUGGAGGAAAGGACAUCAACCGAGACUCCGUUAGUAGUGACGAGCGAACGCGGACCAGGCCAGUGGCUUCAAAAAAAUAACUAAAACAACAUGGAAAGGUUGACCAUAGAGGGUGAUAGUCCUGUAUAGGUAAAAAGUUUGAAGUCCUUGAGUAAGGCGGGACACGUGAAAUCCUGUCUGAACAUAGGGGGACCACCCUCUAAGCCUAAGUACUCUCUAGUGACCGAUAGUGAACAAGUACCGUGAGGGAAAGGUGAAAAGUACCCCGACAAGGGGAGUGAAAUAGUAUCUGAAACCAAAUGCUUACAAGCAGUCGGAGCAAGCGUAUUUAUAUGUCUUGUGACGGCAUACCUUUUGUAUAAUGGGUCAGCGACUUAGUUUAUCUAGCAAGCUUAAGCCAUUAGGUGUAGGCAUAGCGAAAGCGAGUCUGAAUAGGGCGUUUAGUUAGAUGAAUUAGACCCGAAACCGGGUGAUCUAGCCAUGGCCAGGUUGAAAGCGGAGUAAAAUCCGCUGAAGGACCGAACCCACUACUGUUGAAAAAGUAGGGGAUGAGUUGUGGUUAGGGGUGAAAGGCCAAUCAAACUCGGAUAUAGCUGGUUCUCCGCGAAAUCUAUUUAGGUAGAGCGUUAUAGCGAUUACCGUCGAAGGUAGAGCACUGAAUGAGCUAGGGGGUCCCACAGACUUACCAAACUCAAUCAAACUCCGAAUGUCGACGAGUACAGCAUAGCAGACAGACUAUGGGUGCUAAGGUCCAUAGUCGAGAGGGAAAAAGCCCAGACCGCCGUCUAAGGUCCCUAAAUCAUGACUAAGUGUUAAAGGAUGUGAGAAGACCAAAACAACUAGGAUGUUGGCUUAGAAGCAGCCAUCAUUUAAAGAAAGCGUAAUAGCUCACUAGUCUAAAUAAGUUUUCUUGCGCCAACAAUGUAACGGGGCUCAAGUCAUGUACCGAAGAUGCGGAUUUAUGCAUUUGGCAUAAAUGGUAGCGGAGCGUUCCGUAAGCCUGCGAAGGUGAACCGUAAGGUUUGCUGGAGGUAUCGGAAGUGAGAAUGCUGACAUAAGUAGCGAUAAAGAAUGUGAGAAACAUUCUCACCGAAAGUCCAAGGGUUCUUGCAUAAAGUUAAUCUGUGCAAGGUUAGUCGGCCCCUAAGAUGAGGCUGAAAGGCGUAAUCGAUGGGAAUCAGGUUAAUAUUCCUGAACCUGAAGGAUGUGACGAAAAUAGUAAAUUGUACAGUCUUAUUGGAUUGAUUGUGCAGUGAAUAUUUUCCAGGAAAUAACACCUUCACAUGGACCUCUCACAUAACUUAUUUAUAGAGAGAAAUUUGUAGGAGACACGAAACACAAAACCGCAGCGUACAUAAGCGUACGUGAGGAUUUGAGUAUCGGAUCGACGCACAAAUUGCCUCUAGAAAUAAGUUAUGUGAGAGGUCCAUAAAGACCGUACCCGAAACCGACACAGGUGGACAGGUAGAGUAUACCAAGGUGCUUGAGAGAACGAUGCUGAAGGAACUAGGCAAAUUGCAUCUGUAACUUCGGAAGAAAGAUGACCUGUAUAUGGGCAACCAUGUGCAGGUGGCACAAGCUAGGGGGUAGCGACUGUUUAUUAAAAACACAGGGCUCUGCAAAGUCAAUAGACGACGUAUAGGGUCUGACGCCUGCCCAGUGCUGGAAGAUUAAAAGGAGGGGUGCAAGCUCUGAAUUGAAGUCCCAGUGAACGGCGGCCGUAACUAUGACGGUCCUAAGGUAGCGAAAUUCCUUGUCGGGUAAGUUCCGACCCGCACGAAUGGCGUAACGAUUUCCCCACUGUCUCCAGUAUCGACUCAGCGAAAUUGAAUUCUCCGUGAAGAUGCGGAGUUCCCGCGGUCAGACGGAAAGACCCCGUGAACCUUUACUAUAGCUUUGCACUGGUGUUAGAAAUCAGAUGUGCAGGAUAGGUGGGAGACUACGAAGCGAAGGCGUCAGCCUUUGUGGAGUCACCCUUGAGAUACCACCCUUUUGGUUCUUGAUAUCUAACCGAGAUCCUUGAAUCAGGAUCCGAGACAAUGCAUGGUGGGUAGUUUGACUGGGGCGGUCGCCUCCCAAAGAGUAACGGAGGCGCGCGAUGGUUAGCUCAGGUUGGUCGGAAAUCAACUUUUAGAGUGCAAUGGCAUAAGCUAGCCUGACUGCGAGUCUGACAAGACGAGCAGAGACGAAAGUCGGUCAUAGUGAUCCGGUGGUCCCGAGUGGAAGGGCCAUCGCUCAACGAAUAAAAGGUACUCCGGGGAUAACAGGCUGAUGAUUUCCAAGCGUCCAUAGCGACGAAAUCGUUUGGCACCUCGAUGUCGGCUCAUCACAUCCUGGGGCUGGAGAAGGUCCCAAGGGUUCGGCUGUUCGCCGAUUAAAGUGGUACGUGAGCUGGGUUUAGAACGUCGUGAGACAGUUCGGUCCCUAUCUGCCGUGGGUGUAGGAAGUUUGAGAGGAUCUGCCUUUAGUACGAGAGGACCGAGGUGGACGUACCCCUGGUGGACCAGUUGUCGUGCCAACGGCACAGCUGGGUAGCUAAGUACGGAAGGGAUAACCGCUGAAUGCAUCUAAGCAGGAAACCUACCUCAAAACUAGACUUCCCUAUUAGAGCCGUGGAAGACCACCACGUUGAUAGGUCGGGUGUGGAAGCACAGUAAUGUGUGUAGCUAACCGAUACUAAUAGCUCGAUUGAUUUACUU
rnacentral:rRNA from 1 species